UGCAAGUCGAACGAGAUCUUCGGAUCUAGUGGCGCACGGGUGCGUAACGCGUGGGAAUCUGCCCUUGGGUUCGGAAUAACGUCGGGAAACUGACGCUAAUACCGGAUGAUGACGAAAGUCCAAAGAUUUAUCGCCCAGGGAUGAGCCCGCGUAGGAUUAGCUAGUUGGUGAGGUAAAGGCUCACCAAGGCUACGAUCCUUAGCUGGUCUGAGAGGAUGAUCAGCCACACUGGGACUGAGACACGGCCCAGACUCCUACGGGAGGCAGCAGUAGGGAAUAUUGGACAAUGGGGGCAACCCUGAUCCAGCAAUGCCGCGUGAGUGAUGAAGGCCUUAGGGUUGUAAAGCUCUUUUACCCGAGAUGAUAAUGACAGUAUCGGGAGAAUAAGCUCCGGCUAACUCCGUGCCAGCAGCCGCGGUAAUACGGAGGGAGCUAGCGUUGUUCGGAAUUACUGGGCGUAAAGCGCACGUAGGCGGCGAUUUAAGUCAGAGGUGAAAGCCCGGGGCUCAACCCCGGAACUGCCUUUGAGACUGGAUUGCUUGAAUCCUGGAGAGGUGAGUGGAAUUCCGAGUGUAGAGGUGAAAUUCGUAGAUAUUCGGAAGAACACCAGUGGCGAAGGCGGCUCACUGGACAGGUAUUGACGCUGAGGUGCGAAAGCGUGGGGGAGCAAACAGGAUUAGAUACCCUGGUAGUCCACGCCGUAAACGAUGAUAACUAGCUGCCGGA
rnacentral:rRNA from 1 species